CUCUAGGUAUGGCAAAGAUUUACGCUUGGAACAUCUUGGUCCUUUUGACCGUAUUUGCUCUUCUGUCCGCCGUUGAAGAACGAGUCGAGGCCGUACCACUUCCAAAGAGAAGCCAUGGAUCAAGUGGGGGUAACCGUACCAACCGGCACCAUACAACUCCUAGAACUACUCCUUAUACUAGGUGCAACACUCGGCCGUUGGGCCGUCGGUAACAUCUGGACAUGAACCACACCGUUAGGAAAACUCGGCGAGAAAUGAUUUGCAGCGAAACUGAACUGAAGAGGAAAACAGUUAUCCAUUCCAAACCAAGACAUGAAGAAGGACUCGACCGCUUCUACUAGGAAUAUUCGACACGUCUUGCAACCCACUUUGGUGAAAUGAGCCUAUUUGAAGUGUUUACGAAAACUUGUUGAAUAAUAAAUUACUCCGUUGUA